GGUUAUGCAAUGCGUUAUCCUGGAAUUAUUGGGGCGUAAAGCGUUUGUAGGCGGGCGAGUGUGUUUAAUGUUAAAUCUUAAAGCUCAACUUUGAAAUUGCGUUAAAAACUGCUUGUCUUGAGUAUGGUAGGGGUAAAGGGAAUUCCCAGUGUAGCGGUGAAAUGCGUAGAUAUUGGGAAGAACACUAAACAGCGAAGGCACUUUACUAGGCUAAUACUGACGCUGAGAAACGAAAGGUAAGGUAGCGAAACGGAUUAGAUACCCGUGUAGUCUUACCCGUAAACUAUGGACACUAAACGGUAAAUUUUUAAUUUACUGUUAAAGCUAACGCGUUAAGUGUCCCGCCUGGGGAGUAUGCUUGCAAAAGUGAAACUCAAAGGAAUUGACGGGGGCCCGCACAAGCGGUGGAGCAUGUGGUUUAAUUCGACGGUACACGAAGAACCUUACCAGGAUUUGACAUGCUAGAUAGUUGCUUGAAAGAGUAACGUGCCGUAAGGAAUCUAGACACAGGUGGUGCAUGGCUGUCGUCAGUUCGUGUUGUGAAAUGUUGGGUUAAGUCCCGCAACGAACGCAACCCUUGUCUUUAGUUAUUUUCUAAAGAGACUGCCUGUAAUAAACAGGAGGAAGGUAAGGAUGAGGUCAAGUCAUCAUGCCCCUUAUGUCCUGGGCUACACACGUGCUACAAUGGGAAAGACAAUGAGCUGCAAAUCUGUAAAUUUAAGCAAAUCUCUUAAACUUUCUCGUAGUUCGGAUUGUGGGCUGCAACUCGCCCACAUGAAGUUGGAAUCGCUAGUAAUCGCCAGUCAGCUAUAUGGCGGUGAAUCCGUUCCCGGGCCU
rnacentral:rRNA from 1 species